UACGGAGGAUGCAAGCGUUAUCCGGAAUGAUUGGGCGUAAAGCGUCCGCAGGUGGCUGUGUAAGUCUGCUGUCAAAGAGCAAAGCUCAACUUUGUAAAGGCAGUGGAAACUACACGGCUAGAGUGCGUUCGGGGCAGAGGGAAUUCCUGGUGUAGCGGUGAAAUGCGUAGAGAUCAGGAAGAACACCGGUGGCGAAGGCGCUCUGCUAGGCCGCAACCGACACUGAGGGACGAAAGCUAGGGGAGCGAAUGGG
rnacentral:rRNA from 1 species